rnacentral:rRNA from 1 species
UACACGUAAGCAACCUACCCUAAAGACGAGGAUACCAUUGGAAACAGUGGCUAAGACUGGAUAGGAAGAUAAAAGGCAUCUUGUAUCUUUUAAAAGACCUAGUUAAUAGGUAUGCUUUAGGAGGGGCUUGCGCCAUAUUAGUUAGUUGGUAGGGUAAUGGCCUACCAAGACGAUGAUGUGUAGCUGGACUGAGAGGUUGAACAGCCACAUUGGGACUGAGACACGGCCCAAACUCCUACGGGAGGCAGCAGUAGGGAAUUUUCGGCAAUGGAGGAAACUCUGACCGAGCAACGCCGCGUGAAUGACGAAGUACUUCGGUAUGUAAAGUUCUUUUAUCGAGGAAGAAAAGCAAAUGGCGAACCAUUUGUUUGCCGGUACUUGAUGAAUAAGCCCCGGCUAAUUAUGUGCCAGCAGCCGCGGUAAGACAUAAGGGGCAAGUGUUAUCCGGAAUUAUUGGGCGUAAAGGGUGCGUAGGCGGUCUAGUAAGUCAGUGGUGUAAUGUCAACGCUUAACGUUGUCCGGCUAUUGAAACUGCUAAACUUGAGUUAGAUAGAGGCGAGUGGAAUUCCAUGUGUAGCGGUAAAAUGCGUAAAUAUAUGGAGGAACACCAGAGGCGUAGGCGGCUCGCUGGGUCUUAACUGACGCUGAGGCACGAAAGCGUGGGGAGCAAACAGGAUUAGAUACCCUGGUAGUCCACGCCGUAAACGAUGAGUACUAAGUGUCGGGUUAAACCGGUACUGAAGUUAACACAUUAAGUACUCCGCCUGAGUAGUACGUACGCAAGUAUGAAACUUAAAGGAAUUGACGGGACUCCGCACAAGCGGUGGAUCAUGUUGUUUAAUUCGAAGAUACCCGAAAAACCUUACCAGGUCUUGACAUGUUUUUGCAAAAUGAUAGUAAUAUCGUGGAGGUUACCAGAAACACAGGUGGUGCAUGGUUGUCGUCAGCUCGUGUCGUGAGAUGUUAGGUUAAGUCCUAAAACGAGCGAAACCCUUAUCGUUAGUUGCCAGCACGUUAUGGUGGGGACUUUAACGAGACUGCCAAUGAUAAAUUGGAGGAAGGUGAGGAUCACGUCAAAUCAGCAUGCCCCUUAUGACCUGGGCUACAAACGUGAUACAAUGGCUGUUACAAAGGGUAGCUGAAACGCAAGUUCUUGGCCAAUCCCCAAAAACAGUCCCAGUCCGGAUUGAAGUCUGCAACUCGACUUCAUGAAGUUGGAAUCGCUAGUAAUCGCGAACCAGCAUGUCGCGGUGAAUACGUUCUCGGGGUUUGUACACACCGCCCGUCAAACCACGAAAGUUGGCAAUACCCCAAAACGGUAGCCUAACUCG